CCUAUGGAUUGUAAACUUCUUUUCUCUGGGAAUAAAGAGUGGGAUUCAUCCUGCCUUGAAGGUACCAGAGGAAUAAGCACCGGCUAACUCCGUGC
rnacentral:rRNA from 1 species